GGGGAAUCUUGCACAAUGGGGGCAACCCUGAUGCAGCGACGCCGCGUGAGCGAUGAAGCCCUUCGGGGCGUAAAGCUCUUUCGACCGGAACGAUAAUGACGGUACCGGGAGAAGAAGCUGCGGCUAACUACGUGCCAGCAGCCGCGGUAAUACGUAGGCAGCAAGCGUUGUUCGGAGUUACUGGGCGUAAAGAGUGCGUAGGCGGUUUUCUAAGUUCGGUGUGAAAUCUCCCGGCUUAACUGGGAGGGUGCGCCGAAGACUGGGAAGCUGGAGUGUGGGAAAGGCAGGCGGAAUUCCUGGUGUAGCGGUGAAAUGCGUAGAUGUCAGGAGGAACACCGGCGGUGUAGACGGCUUGCUAGACCAUAACUGACGCUGAGGCACGAAAGCGUGGGUAGCAAACA
rnacentral:rRNA from 1 species